rnacentral:rRNA from 1 species
UACGAAGGGGGCUAGCGUUGCUCGGAAUUACUGGGCGUAAAGGGUGCGUAGGCGGGUCUUUAAGUCAGGGGUGAAAUCCUGGAGCUCAACUCCAGAACUGCCUUUGAUACUGAGGAUCUUGAGUUCGGGAGAGGUGAGUGGAACUGCGAGUGUAGAGGUGAAAUUCGUAGAUAUUCGCAAGAACACCAGUGGCGAAGGCGACUCACUGGCCCGAUACUGACGCUGAGGCACGAAAGCGUGGGGAGCAAACAGGG